UACGUAGGUGGCGAGCGUUGUCCGGAUUUACUGGGCGUAAAGAGCGCGCAGGCGGUCGUUCAAGUCGCGUGUGAAAGCCCCCGGCUCAACUGGGGAGGGUCACGCGAUACUGAUCGACUCGAAGGCAGGAGAGGGAAGUGGAAUUCCCGGUGUAGUGGUGAAAUGCGUAGAUAUCGGGAGGAACACCAGUGACGAAGGCGACUUCCUGGCCUGUUCUUGACGCUGAGGCGCGAAAGCUAGGGGAGCAAACGGG
rnacentral:rRNA from 1 species